rnacentral:rRNA from 1 species
UACGUAGGGUGCGAGCGUUAAUCGGAAUUACUGGGCGUAAAGCGUGCGCAGGCGGUUUUGUAAGCCAGAUGUGAAAUCCCCGGGCUUAACCUGGGAAUGGCAUUUGGGACUGCAAGGCUCGAGUGCGGCAGAGGAGACUGGAAUUCCUGGUGUAGCAGUGAAAUGCGUAGAUAUCAGGAGGAACACCGAUGGCGAAGGCAGGUCUCUGGGCUGACACUGACGCUCAUGCACGGAAGCGUGGGGAGCAAACAGG